AACGCAAAUUGCGCCCAAGGCUUCGGCCGAGGGCAUGUCUGCCUCAGCGUCGGCUUUCACCCUCGCCUCCCUUUCCCUGGGAGGCGGACCUGGCCCUCCCGGCUCCGUCAGAUUCGUCUGGCUCCGGGUCGGCUGAAGCCGAGAGGCUUGAGCAUGGACCCCGUUUGCAGGGCAAUGACUUGGUAGGUAGGCACCCCCUACAAAACCCUGUCGUUGCCCGAGGGGGCUUUGCUGGAGGCCUUGCAUGGUUCGACUGUCUGCUCCUUCAAAGGGCGGCUUCGAACGUUUCACACCUUCGACCUGAGCUCAGGCAAGACUACCCGCUGAACUUAA
rnacentral:misc_RNA from 1 species